rnacentral:lncRNA from 1 species
UGGUAGGAAUAGGUUUAGAGAGAAUCCAAUUUCAUAGAAUUAAAACAUGUCCCUAAAGAAACAAAAUAAAUUAGUAAAGUUCAUUAUAGACCAAACCAUAUCUCAUAUAGUCUCAUGACUCUUCUUAUCUCGUUGAGUGAGAUGUACUAAGAGCAGUCCAAUAUGAAACUAUGCCAUUUUAUGAGAUAAUCGAAAAAUUUUUUUUAUUAGUAUUGCAUCC